GUGGCUGUGGCUCAGUGUGUAGAGCACCUGCCUAGCAUGCAUGAGGCACUGGGCUCAAUCCUCUGCACCACA
rnacentral:tRNA from 1 species